UACGUAGGGGGCAAGCGUUGUCCGGAUUUAUUGGGCGUAAAGAGCGUGUAGGCGGCUAGGUAGGUCCGUUGUGAAAACUCGAGGCUCAACCUCGAGACGUCGAUGGAAACCAUCUAGCUAGAGUCCGGAAGAGGAGAGUGGAAUUCCUGGUGUAGCGGUGAAAUGCGCAGAUAUCAGGAAGAACACCUGUGGCGAAGGCGGCUCUCUGGUACGUGACUGACGCUGAGACGCGAAAGCGUGGGGAGCGAACAGG
rnacentral:rRNA from 1 species